rnacentral:piRNA from 1 species
UCCUUGUGCGAGAUGUGGCCCGGGACGA